rnacentral:rRNA from 1 species
CCUACGGGAGGCAGCAGUGGGGAAUAUUGGGCAAUGGGCGCAAGCCUGACCCAGCAACGCCGCGUGAAGGAAGAAGGCUUUCGGGUUGUAAACUUCUUUUAAGCGGGAAGAGCAGAAGACGGUACCUCUUGCAUCAGCCACGGCUAACUACGUGCCAGCAGCCGCGUUAAUACGUAGGUGGCAAGCGUUGUCCGGAUUUACUGGGUGUAACGGGCGUGCAGCCGGGAAGACAAGUCAGAUGUGAAAUCCCGCGGCUCAACCGCGGAACCGCAUUUGAAACUGUUUUUCUUGAGUACCGGAGAGGUCAUCGGAAUUCCUGGUGUAGCGGUGAAAUGCGUAGAUAUAAGGAAGAACACCAGUGGCGAAGGCGGAUGACUGGACGGCAACUGACGGUGAGGCGCGAAAGCGUGGGGAGCAAACAGGAUUAGAUACCCUAGUAGUC